ensembl:lncRNA
AACAAGGGGGAGGGGUAAGGGGAGGGCUAAGGGGUAGAAAUGGGAUUGGGCCUAUGUGUCUCAGUGUAUCCCUCUCUUUUCUCAAAACCAACUACCGUGCUUUUUUCUGUCUUGUAUUAUUAUAUAUAUUACGUAUGGUAUAUUGUAGUUCAUAAUGAACUCAAAUGGGAGGGCGUUGCACUCUUCAUGUGCGUGCAGACAAUGUGUGCAUUGUUGCACCCCUGGUAAAGUCUGCUGACUCUAAAGAGCUUGACUCCGGUCGUUCCACUGAGCGCCCCGCUCACUGUGAGAGAGCUGAUGCACUUUAAUACGCUACGUUGGAUGUUUGUUAAGCUUGACAAACCUCUUAAGAAAAACCGGGGUUAAUCUAAGAGCAAGCUGGCGUGUAAGAGAUUGAUCGAGGUAGAACGAUUUCUUAGUUGAAUUGCAGGCGUCAACCACGUAGGCAAUUGAUUCUGGGUUGUUAUUGGUUGUUAUAUUCCAUAUCCCCCCCCAGGUCUGUCACGGUUUAUCUUUCCUUUCACUUCUAUUGACCCUUUUAUCAAGCAGGAUAGUCCAGGAUGUGCUUUAGAAAACACAAACUCAGACAUGCAAAUACCCCCCCCAACCACCACCACCACCUGCUCUUGGACGUCAUCCAGGGAAGGGGUGUGUGUGUGUGUGUGUGUGUGUGUGUGUGUGUGGGCCCAAUACAUCGUUGUCUCCCAGCUACAUGGGGGCCCCGUCAGCAUCUGUUCAAGGUGAACCUCUAGCACAGCAUGUGUUAGAGAAAGAGAGGGAUAAAGGUGAGAUGGAGAGAGGCCUUUUUUGGUAAAACUUCAUGACACAUUGCAAAUUAGUUUUAGUAAAACUAGAUUUUACAAGUCUUAGUUGUAAUAUUAUUACCUUGCGUUAUUAAAGCUAUUCCAUUUAGUUAAAGUCAAACCAAGCCCUGUUAUAUCAUUGGAAAAACAGGCUUUAUCAUAACCUAAUAUUCACAUUCAAGGUUUACCCUAGAUUUCACAAAGUACCUAAAAACUGUGAUGUAUUCUGACCCUUGCUCUCACUAUCUAUUCCAUUCCUUCUCAGCCUAAAAUGUGUUGCAUUCAAAAAGUAAAGACAGAGAGACAGCGGAAGAGAGAUGUAUAGAAAGAGUGGAGGCGAUGUGCGUGGUGAGUUGGGCACAGACAGAUCCCAGACAUCCAGCCGCGCAUGCUUAAUCCUGCAGACUUUCCUGCCAUCCACCGUGUCUAAGUACCCCUGGAGUUCCCAGAAGGAAUGGUGAGCAGCUAACAUCUGCUGUCCCCUGCAGUUCCUCCUGAAACGUGCGGUGGAGGGCCAACAGCCGCUCUGAGAGUGAACAAUCCCACAUCAAUAAUACUGGAUGCAAUACUUAAACCAUUCUUUGUGUUUACCAUAGUGCCAUCUCCAUCUUCCUGCUACUACACCUGCCAUGAGCGUCUGAGAAUAGCAAACAGCCUUAAACCAAACAACCUUGAAACAACAAACACGAAAGCUUGUCAUAUGCUCACCCAAUGAAGCUUCUAUUGUAGACCAGAAAGCUCUUCUGGUCAAGUCCUUCCAUUUUUUUUAAUAUAUUUCUUUUGCUAUGCAAGUUUGCUUGUUAAUGACAGGUCUGUUGUCAAGGUGACUGAAUGAGGGAUGAGAAGCUGAUUAAGCGCACCAAGGGGUCCUGUGCACAUUUGUAACCACUGACUUUUUAUGUAUUUAUAUACUGUGUGUGUGUCAUUGAAAGCAGUUAACCAAGGCGCAUGGAUAACCGAACAGAAUAAACAACAGUGGAUGUGUAAUGUACAAUCAAAGGCCCAAUCCCAUUUCUACCCCUUAUCCCUUCCCCUGCCCCCUUCCCUUUACCCCUUCAAAACAAGGGGGAGGGGUAAGGGGAAGGGGUAAGGGGUAGAAAUGGGAUUGGGCCAAUGUCUGUGUUGAAGCAUUUCAUGUUCAUGGGACAUAAGGUUGUCUCUGAGGGCUAGCAUGAGUCAAUGAUAUCAACCACACGCCCAAGGUAUAUACUGUUUCUAAAUGUGUCUAUGUAUCAGAAAAACAAUAAAAUAUACAAUAUUUUCAAUGCAAUGCCCCUGACAGACUGGCUGUGUGAUAAGAAGCAGGAUUUGUGGCAGAGAGGGGGUGGAAGAGAGUGAUCUAUUUUUACCUGAUGUAAAAUACCUCCUCAUAUCUCAGCCUCUCCUUUGAUAGUAGCAUCUGAGCGGCUUCACACACUAACAGCAAUUAGGAUGACAUGACGCUAACGACAGAAGUAACCAUUCAAGACUGAGAACAUAUUCACGGCUCCAGGGAAAAACAACAACGUGAGUCAUUGUGAAACGCGGUGUGUAUUUGCGUGUGUGUCAUUUUCUGAUUUGCAUAAAGGCAAAGAAUAGGAUUAAUGCAUUCAUCCAUCCAUCCAUCUGGAACACCUUUUCCAGGCAGGGCAGACUGAAAAACCGGAGACCCUUUCUCCUGGGCAUUGAGAAACUAUGAGCAGA